rnacentral:rRNA from 1 species
GCUUAGCCCUAAACACAAAUGCUUAACUAACAAAACUAUUCGCCAGAGUACUACUAGCCAUUGCUUAAAACUCAAAGGACUUGGCGGUGCUUUAUACCCCUCUAGAGGAGCCUGUUCUAUAAUCGAUAAACCCCGUUCUACCUCACCACCUUUUGCAAUAUCAGCCUAUAUACCGCCAUCUUCAGCAAACCCUAAUAAGGCAGCAUAGUAAGCAUAAAAAUUCUACAUAAAAACGUUAGGUCAAGGUGUAGCCUAUAAGGUGGAAAGAAAUGGGCUACAUUUUCUAGCCUCCUAGAAUAAUAAACAACGACAGCUUCCAUGAAACUUCAAGCUCAAGGUGGAUUUAGUAGUAAGCUAAGAAUAGAGAGCUUAGCUGAAUCGGGCAAUAAAGC